rnacentral:rRNA from 1 species
AUUGAACGCUGGCGGAAUGCUUUACACAUGCAAGUCGAGCGGCAGCGCGGGGGGCAACCCUGGCGGCGAGCGGCGAACGGGUGAGUAAUACAUCGGAACGUGUCCUUGAGUGGGGGAUAGCUACGGCGAAAGCCGGAUUAAUACCGCAUAAGCUCUGAGGAGGAAAGCGGGGGACCUGGUAAACGGGCCUUCGCGCUGUUGGAGCGGCCGAUGUCGGAUUAGCUAGUUGGUGGGGUGAUGGCCUACCAAGGCGACGACGGGUAGCCGGCCUGAGAGGGCGACCGGCCACACUGGGACUGAGACACGGGCCCAGACUCCUACGGGAGGGCAGCAGUGGGGAAUCUUGCGCAAUGGGCGAAAGCCUGACGCAGCGACGCCGCGUGAGGGAUGACGGCCU